rnacentral:rRNA from 1 species
CCUACGGGGUGCAGCAGUGGGGAAUAUUGCACAAUGGGGGAGACCCUGAUGCAGCAACGCCGCGUGAGUGAUGACGGCCUUCGGGUUGUAAAGCUCUGUCUUCAGGGACGAUAAUGACGGUACCUGAGGAGGAAGCCACGGCUAACUACGUGCCAGCAGCCGCGGUAAUAUGUAGGUGGCGAGCGUUGUCCGGAUUUACUGGGCGUAAAGGGAGCGUAGGCGGACUUUUAAGUGAGAUGUGAAAUUCCCGGGCUCAACUUGGGUGCUGCAUUUCAAACUGGAAGUCUAGAGUGCAGGAGAGGAGAAUGGAAUUACUAGUGUAGCGGUGAAAUGCGUAGAGAUUAGGAAGAACACCAGUGGCGAAGGCGAUUCUCUGGACUGUAACUGACGCUGAGGCUCGAAAGCGUGGGGAGCAAACAGGAUUUGAUACCCCAGUAGUC